rnacentral:rRNA from 1 species
ACUCAAAUGAAUUGACGGGGGCCCGCACAAGCGGUGGAGCAUGUGGUUUAAUUCGACGCAACGCGAAGAACCUUACCCAGACUUGACAUGCACAGGACAUCCGUGGAAACACGGCCUCCCCGCAAGGGGUCUGUGCACAGGUGCUGCAUGGCUGUCGUCAGCUCGUGUCGUGAGAUGUUGGGUUAAGUCCCGCAACGAGCGCAACCCUUGUCGCUAGUUGCACCAGAUAAUGCUGAGCACUCUAGCGAGACUGCCGGUGGUAAACCGGAGGAAGGUGGGGAUGACGUCAAGUCCUCAUGGCCCUUACGUCUGGGGCUACACACGUGCUACAAUGACCGGUACAGAGGGAUGCAAGACCGCGAGGUGGAGCCAAUCCCACAAAGCCGGCCUCAGUUCGGAUUGCAGUCUGCAACUCGACUGCAUGAAGUCGGAAUCGCUAGUAAUCGCUGAUCAGCAGGCAGCGGUGAAUACGUUCCCGGGCCUUGUACACACCGCCCGU